GGGAGUGCGGCGCCGGGGGAGGGGGCGGGAGCGGCGGCGCGGGCCCCCCGGAGGGGGCACCUGGCCGAGGCGCCGCCACCGCCGCGCCGCGCGAACCCCGGGCCCGGGCCCCUGCGCGGGCUCGAGAGCUCGCCCGGCCGGGGGGCUUCCUUCGCCGCCGUUGACAGGUUUUGACCUUUAGGAGAGAGCCAGUUCUGGAGAACAGCCUAACUUCUUUGAUUGAACACUCACAUAAUGCUUUGGAACAUUAUAGGAGAUUAAGACUUAAUAAUAGUAGAAUGAAGAUCAUAAUAAAGCAACCCUCUACUUAAACCAGCAAUUCUUACCUUUCUCCUACUUAAUGAAGAUAUCUUUUGUUACUGCAAGGAAUGAGAUGCUGUUUGUAAAUUAAACUUUUUAUCAAGUGAUACUCAGGGCUUGAAUCACUCCUGGUGGGGCUUGGAGGACACAUGCAGUAAUAGGAAUCAAAACCAGACCUAAAUUUUGAUACUACCAUCACAGCAACCCCAGUAUGAAAACUGUCCCUUGAUCACUUGGAAAAUCAGAGAGCAGACAUUGUAUGGAGCUAAGUGCCUGACCACAACUUAUGCGAGCAAAGGGCACUAAAUGCUACAUGAAAUAAUCCUCAGCACAAAACUGAAAUAACCUUGUUUUGUGGAAUUCCUUAUUUCCAUCCUAGUUACAUAUGACUUGUAUGUUCUGACUGCAGACUUCAGCUGUCUUUCCAUGACUUCUGAAGGGAUGGCAAAGCAAGAGCCACACGGGAGAGUAGGAACAAAGGAGUUUCAUGCAGAUGGGGUUUCCGGUGCAGAGGCCAGGCGGGGCAAACAUGCAGGGAAGGAAGAACAUCACGGCUUUUUCUUUCAGAGCAGAGAAUUACAUACUGCUGCAGGUUUUGUAGCUGCUAGUCUGACUCAUGCCUGACAUCCAGUCUCCUAUAUUAGUCCCUGCCUGAUACCAGGUUAUUAAGCAUCUUAUAUUCUUGGAAUAGUGAUUCCAAGAAGAGUAAAAAGGGAAGAAUGAGUGAGUGACUUUUCCAAAAUGUGCCAUCUUGGGGAAGUGUAGCGAACAGAGAAAGAAGAUGCCUGAGGUUGGGGCAUGUUAUCUGGAAAAGUACUCGCCAGAAACCUGAAGCAAAUGAAGGCUUCAGUAUCUACCUGUAGUGUUAGACUGUUUUAUGUACCCCAAGCUUCAACUGUUAGUUCUUUGAACAGAAGGGAAGGAAGUACUAGUGUCUUCAGAAUUUUUGGCAGUCCCUCUAGCUCUAGUGCUAAGCAGGCUCUAGUUCUCUCAUUCGUGCUGGCUGGGGAAGCCCGGCUCUGCAGGGGAGCAGAACUUGGUGAAAAGGAUUUGAGGCACACCAUGCCUCAUGGAUCCGGUGACCAGUAACACAAAAACUCCCUCCUCACUCACUUGCUUCUGAGGUGGCCAGUUCCUCUUUAUGCAUCUCCCUUAAACCUUAAAAACUUGAAGCCAUCGCUUAUUUAUUUAUGCCAUUCAUCUUCAUAGAUGCAGAGCGCAAAAUUAUGAACCUCGUCCUAAAAUGAGGUGAUUUCUCCAACGUCAAAGUUGAGAGGCUGAGCUGAUAGUCUGAAGUCAGAUUCCAGGUACAGGGUCUUUCUGUAGUGCCCUGUCAGUGUAGGUGAAAAACUGCACCUCGUCUCGGAUUAGUGCUACUAAGAAAAUUAUUUCUAGAAAAAUUUAUAUAUAUAUAUGUAUAUAUAUAUAUAUGGACUGGAGCGAUAGCACAGCGGGUAGGGAGUUUGCCUUGCACGCAGCCAACCGGGUUUCGAUUCCUCCAUCCCUCUCAGAGAGUCUGGCAAGCUAUGGAGAGUAUCCCGCCCGCACAGCAGAGCCUGGCAAGCUACCCGUGGCGUAUUUGAUGUGCCCAAAACAGUAACAACAAGUCUCACGAUGGAGAGUUACUGGUGUCCAUUCCAGCAAAUUGAUGAGCAACGGGAUGACAGUGACAGUGAUUUAUAUAUAUACAUGUAUAUGUAUAUUUGGUCACACCCGGUGGUGUUCUGGGCUUGCUCCUACUUCUUGGAGCCAGGCGUUGAAAUCCGGUUGGCCACAUGCAAGUAAAUACCUUAAUUGUAAAUACCUUAAUUCUAAGUAAAUACCUUAGUUGUAAUAUUUAUUUAAUAUUAAGUGAUACAAGAGUGAAAUAUUAUUGACACAUAAGUCAAAAAUUAUACUUGACAUUAAUAAACAUUUGCCAAACAAAUGUGUAAACCGCUGGUUAAAUCUGCAUAGAAAUUCCUGGGAUGCUUUGAAAAAGAGAAGUCACCAAGAGAACAUUCAGUAUUAAAGUAGCUUAAGUGUAGAAGCACAGGGAAAGAAGAAUAACAUCUCUCCUCCUGGGUUCCUGUUAAAACAGCAACCGGGGAAUCACCACAUAUAGUGGACCAGAAAAAAAAGUAACUGCCGGAUUGAAAUCUACCUCCACAGCGACAUCCUUCCCGGAGGAGCACAAUGUGGCCAGAUCCUGUUCCAGAUAACACUUAAGGGAUUAUCAAAAUUCUGGAUACACUGGAAUUUCCUUCUAUUGACUAUUCUGCAGCUAAGUAAACUAACAGCUGAAGUUUUGGAAUCCGUAUGCCAGCAAGCAAUAAAACUAUAG